AGUGGCCGGGAUUCGAACCCAGGUGGUGGUACUCACAGCUGUAAGCCCUUUACCACUAGAGCUAGAAGCCCCGGUUAAACAUAAAGCACAUGUUAUAUAUAAUAACUUUUGCUUAAGCACUUAAGAGUUUUUUUUUUCAACGCUGGAUAAUUAUGCUAUUACAAACUAUGAGAAUAUUACAGACGAUUCUACAGCCGACAAUUCUACAUACCUUAUGAAGGUUCACGCCUGACUGUAUCACAUGAGCUGUUUAUGGGAGGACCGAGCAAUCUUAUCUAAUUGAUCCAAGGUAGAUAUCAGAAGAGCUAUAGUACUCAUCGUAUGUACUAGAAUAUAGAUGAGAGGACAGACUUAGUAAGUGUUAUCCUUCCC
rnacentral:lncRNA from 1 species